rnacentral:rRNA from 1 species
UACGUAGGGUGCGAGCGUUAAUCGGAAUUACUGGGCGUAAAGGGCGUGUAGGCGGUUUGUUAAGUCUGGCGUGAAAGCUCUCGGCUAAACCGGGAGAGGUCGUUGGAUACUGGCAAACUAGAGGAUGGUAGAGGCGUGUGGAAUUCCGGGUGUAGUGGUGAAAUGCGUAGAGAUCCGGAGGAACACCAGUGGCGAAGGCGACACGCUGGGCCAUACCUGACGCUAAAGCGCGACAGCAUGGGGAGCAAACGGG